GGGGCUGCCCCUCAUAUGCCCUGCUGCAUUUGUGUCUCUGCAGAGAAGGUGUUCGCCAGCCUCCCCCAGGUGGAGAGGGGUGUCUCCAAAAUCAUCGGCGGUGACCCCAAGGGCAACAAUUUUCUUUACACCAAUGGAAAGUGCGUCAUCCUAAGGAACAUCGACAACCCGGCCAUCGCUGACAUCUACACCGAGCACGCCCAUCAGGUGGUGGUGGCCAAGUACGCGCCCAGCGGAUUCUACAUCGCCUCUGGAGACAUAUCUGGGAAGCUGAGGAUCUGGGAUACCACGCAGAAGGAGCACCUCUUGAAGUAUGAGUAUCAGCCUUUCGCUGGGAAGAUCAAGGACAUUGCUUGGACGGAAGACAGUAAGAGGAUCGCAGUGGUCGGGGAAGGAAGGGAGAAGUUCGGAGCCGUCUUCCUGUGGGACAGUGGCUCUUCCGUGGGCGAGAUCACAGGACACAACAAAGUCAUCAACAGCGUGGACAUCAAGCAGAGCCGGCCGUACCGCCUGGUGACUGGCAGCGAUGACAACUGUGCCGCGUUCUUUGAGGGGCCACCAUUCAAGUUCAAGUUCACAAUUGGCGACCACAGCCGCUUCGUCAACUGCGUGCGAUUCUCCCCCGACGGGAACAGAUUUGCCACAGCCAGCGCUGACGGCCAGAUCUACAUCUACGACGGAAAGACGGGAGAGAAGGUGUGCGCGCUGGGAGGAAGCAAGGCUCACGACGGCGGCAUCUAUGCCAUCAGCUGGAGUCCUGAUGGCUCCCACUUGCUUUCUGCUUCUGGAGACAAAACCUCUAAAAUUUGGGACGUCAGUAUGAACUCUGUCGUCAACACGUUUACCAUGGGCUCCAACGUUCUGGACCAGCAGCUGGGCUGCUUAUGGCAGAAGGACCACCUCCUCAGCAUCUCCUUGUCUGGCUACAUCAACUACCUGGACAAAAACAACCCCAGCAAACCCCUGCGGGUCAUCAAGGGUCACAGCAAAUCCAUCCAGUGCCUGACGGUGCAUAAAAACGGCGGCAAGUCGUAUAUCUACUCUGGGAGCCACGACGGACACAUUAAUUACUGGGAUUCGGAGACAGGGGAGAAUGACUCCUUCGCCGGGAAGGGCCACACGAACCAGGUGUCCAGGAUGACGGUGGACGAGUCCGGGCAGCUGGUGAGCUGCAGCAUGGAUGACACGGUGCGGUACACCAGCCUCACACUGCGGGACUACAGUGGACAGGGAGUUGUGAAGCUGGACGUCCAGCCGAAGUGUGUGGCCGUCGGCCCCGGGGGCUACGCCGUGGUCGUGUGCAUCGGGCAGAUCGUCCUGCUGAAGGACCAGAGGAAGUGCUUCAGCAUCGACAACCUCGGCUACGAGCCUGAAGUGGUGGCGGUGCAUCCCGGCGGCGAGACGGUGGCCAUCGGGGGCGCGGAUGGGAACGUCCGCCUGUACUCCAUCCUGGGCACCACGCUGAAGGAUGAGGGCAAGCUCCUGGAAGCCAAGGGCCCCGUGACCGAUGUGGCGUAUUCCAAUGACGGCGCCUUCCUCGCCGUCUGCGAUGCCAGCAAGGUGGUCACGGUCUUCAGCGUUGCUGAUGGCUACUCGGAGAACAACGUCUUUUAUGGACACCAUGCAAAGAUCGUCUGCCUGGCCUGGUCUCCAGACAACGAGCACUUUGCCUCAGGUGGCAUGGACAUGAUGGUGUACGUGUGGACCCUCAGUGACCCUGAGACCAGGGUCAAGAUCCAAGAUGCGCACCGCCUGCACCACGUCAGCAGCCUGGCCUGGCUGGACGAGCACACGCUGGUCACGACGUCCCACGACGCCUCUGUCAAAGAGUGGACAAUCUCCUACUGAGGAGCCCUCCUCGAACUGACCGAAUCAGGGACUCGAGUUGAACGCAGCUGAACAGUGACGCCUCUCUCUCUCUGUCCGCCCCCGCCCCGCCCCCAGGAGGGCGGGGCCUCGCCUUGUGACCGCCCCGGCCCCGCCCCCGGGAGGGAGGGCCCCGCCUCCUGAGCGCCCGCGGCCCGCAGGGCGACCCUGUCUGUACACGUCCUUCUGAAAGCUUUAGACGGUGACAGUUUGCACAUGGAAAAUAAAGUGAGCACUUCAACAACGUGUAGCGCGUGACUCAAACCCACCGCCCUGCUCAGCCGCGCAGAACAUUCCAGAGGCAGAGCCUCCAAAGCACACAGACUCAUCCCGCUCCCCGCCUGCCGGUCCCUUCUGGUGUCCGCGCCUGCGGGAAGGGGGCGCAGGGCCGGCGCUGUGAGCAGAUGGCGCUCGGUUCCUGCCCGGGGGACACACACAACCUGCAUUUCACUGUCCGUUUUUGUGCUUGAUUUUAAGAAUGGAGUUGUGGGAUUUGUUCUGUUUUGGGUUUGUUUUUUUUUAAUGUAUUCUACCUGAUGCCUGUCAGUGUUUACGGCGCUGCCUCCAGGCUUUUGGAUCCCUCGGUAGCCAGACGAGGCCUCUUGGUACUGUUUGACUCUUGUGCUUUGAUGUCUUUCUGUCUUUCUUUCCCCCUCUGCCUCCCAGAGCAAAGAUUAAUUUAAAGGCAAAGAUGGAGUCACUGUAAACUAACCUGUCCUCAUUUACACCUUCCUUUUCUUUUCCAGUGCAGAAAUUAAAAGUAAGUAUAAAGCA